rnacentral:rRNA from 1 species
GGGUUGUGAGGUUAAGCGACUAAGCGUACACGGUGGAUGCCCUGGCAGUCAGAGGCGAUGAAGGACGUGCUAAUCUGCGAAAAGCGUCGGUAAGGUGAUAUGAACCGUUAUAACCGGCGAUGUCCGAAUGGGGAAACCCAGUGCAAUUCGUUGCACUAUCGUUAACUGAAUACAUAGGUUAACGAGGCGAACCGGGGGAACUGAAACAUCUAAGUACCCCGAGGAAAAGAAAUCAACCGAGAUUCCCCCAGUAGCGGCGAGCGAACGGGGAGCAGCCCAGAGUCUGAAUCAGCUUGUGUGUUAGUGGAACGGUCUGGAAAGUCCGACGGUACAGGGUGAUAGUCCCGUACACCAAAAUGCACAGGCUGUGAACUCGAAGAGUAGGGCGGGACACGUGGUAUCCUGUCUGAAUAUGGGGGGACCAUCCUCCAAGGCUAAAUACUCCUGACUGACCGAUAGUGAACCAGUACCGUGAGGGAAAGGCGAAAAGAACCCCGGCGAGGGGAGUGAAAAAGAACCUGAAACCGUGUACGUACAAGCAGUGGGAGCACCUUCGGGUGUGACUGCGUACCUUUUGUAUAAUGGGUCAGCGACUUAUAUUCUGUAGCAAGGUUAACCGUAUAGGGGAGCCGCAGGGAAACCGAGUCUUAACUGGGCGUUAAGUUGCAGGGUAUAGACCCGAAACCCGGUGAUCUAGCCAUGGGCAGGUUGAAGGUUGGGUAACACUAACUGGAGGACCGAACCGACUAAUGUUGAAAAAUUAGCGGAUGACUUGUGGCUGGGGGUGAAAGGCCAAUCAAACCGGGAGAUAGCUGGUUCUCCCCGAAAGCUAUUUAGGUAGCGCCUCGUGAAUUCAUCUUCGGGGGUAGAGCACUGUUUCGGCUAGGGGGUCAUCCCGACUUACCAACCCGAUGCAAACUACGAAUACCGAAGAAUGUUAUCACGGGAGACACACGGCGGGUGCUAACGUCCGUCGUGAAGAGGGAAACAACCCAGACCGCCAGCUAAGGUCCCAAAGUCAUGGUUAAGUGGGAAACGAUGUGGGAAGGCACAGACAGCCAGGAUGUUGGCUUAGAAGCAGCCAUCAUUUAAAGAAAGCGUAAUAGCUCACUGGUCGAGUCGGCCUGCGCGGAAGAUGUAACGGGGCUAAACCAUGCACCGAAGCUGCGGCAGCGACACUAUGUGUUGUUGGGUAGGGGAGCGUUCUGUAAGCCUGCGAAGGUGUGCUGUGAGGCAUGCUGGAGGUAUCAGAAGUGCGAAUGCUGACAUAAGUAACGAUAAAGCGGGUGAAAAGCCCGCUCGCCGGAAGACCAAGGGUUCCUGUCCAACGUUAAUCGGGGCAGGGUGAGUCGACCCCUAAGGCGAGGCCGAAAGGCGUAGUCGAUGGGAAACAGGUUAAUAUUCCUGUACUUGGUGUUACUGCGAAGGGGGGACGGAGAAGGCUAUGUUAGCCGGGCGACGGUUGUCCCGGUUUAAGCAUGUAGGCUGGUUGUCCAGGCAAAUCCGGAUAAUCAAGGCUGAGGUGUGAUGACGAGGCACUACGGUGCUGAAGUAACAAAUGCCCUGCUUCCAGGAAAAGCCUCUAAGCAUCAGGUAACAUCAAAUCGUACCCCAAACCGACACAGGUGGUCAGGUAGAGAAUACCAAGGCGCUUGAGAGAACUCGGGUGAAGGAACUAGGCAAAAUGGUGCCGUAACUUCGGGAGAAGGCACGCUGGUGUGUAGGUGAAGCCCCUGCGGGUGGAGCUGAGACCAGUCGAAGAUACCAGCUGGCUGCAACUGUUUAUUAAAAACACAGCACUGUGCAAACACGAAAGUGGACGUAUACGGUGUGACGCCUGCCCGGUGCCGGAAGGUUAAUUGAUGGGGUUAUCCGUAAGGAGAAGCUCUUGAUCGAAGCCCCGGUAAACGGCGGCCGUAACUAUAACGGUCCUAAGGUAGCGAAAUUCCUUGUCGGGUAAGUUCCGACCUGCACGAAUGGCGUAAUGAUGGCCAGGCUGUCUCCACCCGAGACUCAGUGAAAUUGAACUCGCUGUGAAGAUGCAGUGUACCCGCGGCAAGACGGAAAGACCCCGUGAACCUUUACUAUAGCUUGACACUGAACAUUGAGCCUUGAUGUGUAGGAUAGGUGGGAGGCUUUGAAGCGUGGACGCCAGUCUGCGUGGAGCCAACCUUGAAAUACCACCCUUUAAUGUUUGAUGUUCUAACGUUGGCCCCUUACCGGGGUUGCGGACAGUGUCUGGUGGGUAGUUUGACUGGGGCGGUCUCCUCCCAAAGCGUAACGGAGGAGCACGAAGGUUAGCUAAUCCUGGUCGGACAUCAGGAGGUUAGUGCAAUGGCAUAAGCUAGCUUGACUGCGAGCGUGACGGCGCGAGCAGGUGCGAAAGCAGGUCAUAGUGAUCCGGUGGUUCUGAAUGGAAGGGCCAUCGCUCAACGGAUAAAAGGUACUCCGGGGAUAACAGGCUGAUACCGCCCAAGAGUUCAUAUCGACGGCGGUGUUUGGCACCUCGAUGUCGGCUCAUCACAUCCUGGGGCUGAAGUAGGUCCCAAGGGUAUGGCUGUUCGCCAUUUAAAGUGGUACGCGAGCUGGGUUUAGAACGUCGUGAGACAGUUCGGUCCCUAUCUGCCGUGGGCGCUGGAGAAUUGAGGGGGGCUGCUCCUAGUACGAGAGGACCGGAGUGGACGCAUCACUGGUGUUCGGGUUGUCAUGCCAAUGGCACUGCCCGGUAGCUAAAUGCGGAAGAGAUAAGUGCUGAAAGCAUCUAAGCACGAAACUUACCCCGAGAUGAGUUCUCCCUGAGACUUUAAGUCUCCUGAAGGAACGUUGAAGACGACGACGUUGAUAGGCCGGGUGUGUAAGCGCAGCGAUGCGUUGAGCUAACCGGUACUAAUGAACCGUGAGGCUUAACCUUACAACGCCGAAG